UCCCUGGUGGUUCAGUGGUUAAGUCUCUGAACUCCCAGAGCAGGCAGCCCAGGUUUGAUUCCUGGUCAGGGAA
rnacentral:tRNA from 1 species